rnacentral:rRNA from 1 species
AACGGCCAUACCAUGCUGAAUAUACCGGUUCUCGUUAGAUCACCGAAGUCAAGCAUCAUUGGGCGCGGUCAGUAAUUGGGUGGGUGACCCCCUGGGAACACUGCGUGCUGUUG